GGGAGCUAGCACAGGUGCUGCAUGGCUGUCGUCAGCUCGUGUCGUGAGAUGUUCGGUUAAGUCCGCUAACGAGCGCAACCCUCGCUGUGUGUUAUAUGUGUCACAUGGGGACUGCCGGGCCUUAAGCCGGAGGAAGUGGGGAUGAUGUCAAGUCAGCAUGGCCUUUAUGUCCUGGGCUACACACACGCUACAAUGGUCAGCACAAUGGGUCGCUAAGCCGCAAGGUGGAGCCAAUCCUCAAAGUUGGCCUCAGUUCAGAUUGUAGGCUGCAACUCGCCUGCAUGAAGAUGGAGUUGCUAGUAACCGCAGGUCAGCAAUACUGCGGUGAAUACGUUCCCGGGGAUU
rnacentral:rRNA from 1 species